ACUGGAAGAGUCUUACAACUAGCUUUGGAGGGCUUGAGUAUCCACCUAGAGUUAAUACAUGGUCUAAAAAGAUAUCCAGUUAAUAAAUGGUCCUAUUGAUACAGAUGGAUACUUGCUCUUAUUGUUCUGUUCAAUACUGAGUAUUUAUUUUCCUUAUUAAAACUGAUUUGGUUCCAGUAUAAGCUGUAGUCAAUUGACCAUGGAUCUUGAUUAAUUUCUCCCUUUUUUUUUUUUUCUUUUUCUUUUUAGAGCUGCACUUGUGGCAUAUGGAGGCUCCCAGGCUAGGGCAACAAUAAAUCAAUAAAUAAAUAGUUCUCAGUGUGGGCUUAGGGUUAGGGUGACCAGACAUUCCAUUUGGCCUGGGAUAGCCCAAUUUAUGUUUACUCCCCACUAGGAAUUAGAUGGAGGGAAGAGGGGAGGGCAUCAGGUAUUAAGAAAGAAAUCAAAAGAAAAAUGACACAGGCAAGUAACUGUGGUGUUUUUAUGUUUGUUGUGUUUGCUGAAUGAAUGUGUAGAGGCAUGUAUUUGUGUAAAAAAAAAAAGGUGAAAAGACAAGUGAGGGAAACAGAGGACGUGGUCUGAAAAAGGGAUGAAGAGGAGACGAAAUGACACUACAAGAUCAUACAAUUGUAUAGGCUCUACUUGGGUUUUAGGAAAAUGAGUUUGAAAAUACCACCCAGACAGAACAAAGUAGAGUGGUUGAAAGCAGAAAAAGCCAGGAAAAAGAAUAUUGAAAUAAUCAAGGUGGGAGGCAAAUAAGAAUGGAUCAAGGUGGCUGGGAAUUUGUCAUAGUCAAAGAACACUGAAGGGAAGAAAUGACAAAAUUCCAGUCAACAGACAAGUAAUUAAGCCUUACAUCAUUGUUUAUUAUUCAUCCGCCCCAACUUUUAGAGGCUGUUGCUAUGGGCAAUGAGAGAACAUGCAGGAUUGCCUAGUGCACUCCUGAUGCUUUGGGACUAAGGGACAGCAAACUGAAAUAAUGUCACAUGCUACCAAAAUAUGAUUAUCAAAAAAAAAGUGAGGGGAGACUUGUGUUCUAUAACAGAAAAAGUGUAGGCAAACUGAACUGUUGUCACAUGCAAUUUAACUUCAACAAAAUGGUAUCAUGUUUCAGGAAUUUAAUAGUGCUAACUCAAAUUUUGUUGAUUUUGUUCUGUGUAAUGUACAUUUGCUUUGGCUUUAUAGAUGUAUAAGUGCUACAGGCAUGAGGAGUUCAUACCUGGUUUGAAGUUUAGGUGUAUGUAGGAAUAUCACACUAAAAAUGGUUUAUGUCAGAAAGGAAGAUAUAUAAUAAUUAUCUCUUCUUAAAGAUGUGAAUGCAUGCCUCAAGUUUGAGAAAGAAUAUCUAAUACACAUAAGAUUGUAAUUUACAUCACUGGCUUUGACAAGGAAAUAGUUAUUAGUGAUGUGCAACUGAACAGUUUAAGUGGACUGAUGGAUGGGCGUCAAAUGACAAUGUGCCAGGAAGAAAAAGCGGAAUUAAAAAGUAACAGCAGCAGUUGAGACCACAUCAAGAAGUGUAUAUUGUGUACAACAAAUUCUGAAGGAAAACCAUAAAGUAAAGCAAUACAAGCAAUAAAAUCAACCAUAUAAGCUAUGAUUGAUACUCAGGACUGAGUACGAGAGCUGCUCUUGGCUAAAACAAGAAUUUUGCGGUUAUGUGGUGGACAUUCAAUAUAUUUCUUUCCAGAAAGGUGAAUAUAUCAAUAGGCAGGAGUUAAUUUCAUGGCCAAAUUGAUAAACGACAAUUUACAAGAUUCAUUAAAAGGCAAAGUAUAAAGAACUAUCCAGGUGCCGUAUCUAAUUAUCCCAAACCACAAAUCAGUUAACCAAAGGCCCAUGGGUCAUACCCAUGUGCCAUUGAUUUAGGAGCUGGUUUUAUGACUUUUUUGUCAGGCAGUGUUGUUGAGUUCCAGGACUACACGGCUAAAACACUGACUUUCAUCCUUCUGAUUCCUUCUUCUAAAAAAUAGCAAAUAAUUAAUUGAAGGCCAGCUGCCAAGACAUUGGUUAGGAGAUCAUGAAGACCUGACGUUGUAUAAAUAAGAUUCCAAAGCUAAUCUAGGUGUGAUCUAAGAGUCUCAUACAGAAAAGAAUGAACCUAAAAUUAUCAGGACACCUAUUCUUUGGUUUUAGAGAAUUGUAUUCUAAUGGCUUCCAUUCUAGUAAUAUGAGGAUUUACUACCA
rnacentral:lncRNA from 1 species